CAUUUCAAACUUGAUGUACUGGGCCACCUGGGAGGGAGCCAAGCAGACGGGAGAUGGAGGCCCGGCCGGCUUUGAGCCCAGACAAGGCGGACGGCCUCACUCGGCUUCUUCUUCUACCAAAAGCACAACCGAGGCGGAAGAGACCCAAAAAGAUGUGCCCAUUCCCCCUCCUCCUCCUCCUCACCGGUUCCGGCCUCGGUCCCAUCGCCGUCCGAAGAGGGUUCGGCCUCCGUCACCUGGAUGUCCGGCAGAGUCGAGGGCUUUAGGACGGACCUGAGAGACCCAAAGAAAAGGAUUUCGGAGCAAAAGGAGGAUCAUUUUCCCUGGGAAAACUCUGAGCCAGGGCUGCUGUGGGCUGUGUGUGCAAUGUAUCCCAGCAGCCCUCUCUCCUGACGUUCUGCCUGCCUCUGUGGCUCAUGGCCACUUCAUAGCCUGGCUGUUGUGGCCUAGAGGCACCCUCUGUGGAAUGAUGUCUGUGUAUUUGUGUCUCAUUGUAUAUCAUGUAAAAAGCCAUUAAAUGUUUGCUUGUGUCUGUUUAUAUAUACUGCAAUCCACUUGAUGAGAAGGGAGGAAUAUAAAUAAAUUAUUAUUAUUAUUAUUA